rnacentral:rRNA from 1 species
GCGUUAUCCGGAUUUAUUGGGUUUAAAGGGUGCGUAGGUGGUGAUUUAAGUCAGCGGUGAAAGUUUGUGGCUCAACCAUAAAAUUGCCGUUGAAACUGGGUUACUUGAGUGUGUUUGAGGUAGGCGGAAUGCGUGGUGUAGCGGUGAAAUGCAUAGAUAUCACGCAGAACUCCGAUUGCGAAGGCAGCUUACUAAACCAUAACUGACACUGAAGCACGAAAGCGUGGGGAUCAAACAGGAUUAGAUACCCU